AGACGUCUUUCGGGAUGUAAACUUCUGAAUUUACUGGAUAAAGGGUAGAGUAAGCUCUACAGAUGAAGGUAAGUAAAGAAAAGCCCCGGCUAACUACGUGCCAGCAGCCGCGGUAAGACGUAGGGGGCGAGCGUUGCCCGGAAUCACUGGGCGUAAAGGGAAAGUAGGCGGUCUAGCAAGUCAGAUGUGAAAUGUCAUGGCUCAACCAUGGAAUUGCGUUUGAAACUGCGAGACUUGAGGAUACCAGAGGAAGGCGGAAUUACUUGAGUAGAGGUGAAAUUCGUAGAUACAAGUAAGAAGGCCAGUGGUGAAGACGGCUUUCUGGGGUAAUCCUGACGCUGAGAUUCGAAAGCUAGGGGAGCGAACCGGAUUAGAUACCCGGGUAGUCCUAGCCGUAAACGAUGUUUACUAGGUGUGGGUAGAGAUAUCCGUGCUGAAGCGAACGCGACAAGUGAACCGCCUGGGGAGUACGUCCGCAAGGAUGAAACUCAAAGGAAUUGACGGGGGCCCGCACAAGCGGUGGAGCGUGUGGUUUAAUUCGAAGCUAAGCGAAGAACCUCACCAAGUCUUGACAUAUAUCUAGUACCGAACCGAAAGGUAAGGGACCCGUGCUUGCAUGGGAGGAUAUACAGGUGGUGCAUGGUCGUCGUCAGCUCGUGCCGUGAGGUGUUGGGUUAAGUCCCGCAACGAGCGCAACCCU
rnacentral:rRNA from 1 species